AACAAUCCAUCCUGCUCAUGUGUACCAAUCUUGGCUUCAAGAUACUUCAGAUAUAGUUUCAAGAAGACGAAGAAACCAAAAGCCCAAGAACAUAAUGUCUACUAUGAAGAUUGGUAAACUCAUGGAGCAGCCAGCUAGUGUUCUCAUGGGUCGUUUAUUUAAACCCGGAAGUGGAGAAACAUAUUAUCCAGCUCCUCUCUUAGAGCUAUUCAAGGAAAAACAUACCCAUGACUCACCUUCAGCAUUAACCUCGCCACCUCUGCCUCCAGAACCAUCAUCAUGGUCACCACCUGAAAAACAAACUUAUCACGACCCGCCUGUUGAAGAUUUUCUUAGUGGAGGUGGCUCCCAGUCAUUUGUAACCCC